UACCCGCCCCACCCUGACAGUGCUGCCCCCUCCAGUGUGGAGCUGCAGCAGCAGCAGGUUACCCUCCUGUGUCUGGCCAACAAGGGCUUCCCCUCAGACUGGACUCUGUCCUGGAAGCUGGACGGCAGCAGCAGCAGCAGCUGGGAGCAGAGCAGGAGCCCCGGGGUGCUGCAGAAUGACGGCCUCUACAGCUGGAGCAGCACCCUGAGGAUCCCUGCAGACCAGUGGAGGAAGGUGGGCUCUGUGACCUGUGAGGCCUCCCAGAGCUCCCAGCCUGCAGUCACAGAGACACUGAGGAGAGACCAGUGUUCCCAGUCCUGACCUGAUUCUGAUACUGGCUUUAAUCUGUCACUGCUCUCACUCUUUCUCUGCUGAUUAUUCUCUAUUUUCACUGAGUCAUGUUUGCUUUGUCAUGUUUGUCACUGUUCAGAUAAUAAAU